rnacentral:rRNA from 1 species
GCUUGCUUUCUUUGCUGGCGACCGGCGCACGGGUGAGUAACACGUAUCCAACCUACCCUUUACUCGGGGAUAGCCUUUCGAAAGAAAGAUUAAUACCCGAUAGCAUAAUGAUUCCGCAUGGUUUCAUUAUUAAAGGAUUCCGGUAAAGGAUGGGGAUGCGUUCCAUUAGGUUGUUGGUGGGGUAACGGCCCACCAAGCCUUCGAUGGAUAGGGGUUCUGAGAGGAAGGUCCCCCCACAUUGGAACUGAGACACGGUCCAAACUCCUACGGGAGGCAGCAUG